rnacentral:rRNA from 2 species
CGUGCACGCCCGAGCGCUCUCGCACAAAAUCCAUCUCACCCCUUUGUGCAUCACCGCGCGGGUCCCCCCUUUGCAGGAGGGCUCACGUUUUCACACAAAAUUUGAUACAGUCUAGAAUGUUUUGUUUUUGCGGUCACACGCAAUCAAUACAACUUUCAACAACGGAUCUCUUGGCUCUCGCAUCGAUGAAGAACGCAGCGAAAUGCGAUACGUAAUGUGAAUUGCAGAAUUCAGUGAAUCAUCGAAUCUUUGAACGCACCUUGCGCCCCUUGGCAUUCCGAGGGGCACACCCGUUUGAGUGUCGUGAAAUCCUCAAAACCCCCUUUUCUUUCAUCGGAACGGGGAUUUUGGACUUGGAGGUUCAAUGCUUGCUUUUGCUUUCAAAGGCGAGCUCCUCUUAAAUGAAUCAGUGGGGUCCGCUUUGCUGAUCCUUGACGUGAUAAUAUGUUUCUACGUUUUGGAUCUGGCACUGUUUUCUCCGCUCCUAAUCGUCUCAUUGACAAUGAUGGUGCUUCGGUCCCCUGCCAUCUACGUUGGCGGGAGGCUGGACCCACAAAAAUAAAACCUUGACCUCAAAUCGGGUGAGACUACCCGCUGAACUUAAGCAUAUCAAUAAGCGGAGGAAAAGAAACUAACAAGGAUUCCCCUAGUAACUGCGAGUGAAGCGGGAAAAGCUCAAAUUUAAAAUCUGGUGGUCUUUGGCCGUCCGAGUUGUAAUUUANAGAAGCGUUUUCCGCGCUGGACCGUGUACAA